rnacentral:rRNA from 1 species
UACGUAGGGUGCGAGCGUUAAUCGGAAUUACUGGGCGUAAAGCGUGCGCAGGCGGUUCGUGAUGUCUGAUGUGAAAGCCCCGGGCUUAACCUUGAACAGGCAGUAGAAACUAAUGAGCUUGAGUACGGUAGGGGCAAAGGGAAUUCCCGGUGUAGCGGUGAAAUGCGUAGAGAUCGGGAAGAACACCAAGGGCGAAAGCACUUUGCUGGGCCGAAACUGACACUGAGAGACGAAAGCUAGGGUAGCGAAUGGG